AACGAACGCUGGCGGCAGGCUUAACACAUGCAAGUCGAGCGCCCCGCAAGGGGAGCGGCAGACGGGUGAGUAACGCGUGGGAAUCUACCGUACCCUACGGAAUAACGCAUGGAAACGUGUGCUAAUACCGUAUACGCCCUACGGGGGAAAGAUUUAUCGGGGUAUGAUGAGCCCGCGUUGGAUUAGCUAGUUGGUGGGGUAAAGGCCUACCAAGGCGACGAUCCAUAGCUGGUCUGAGAGGAUGAUCAGCCACAUUGGGACUGAGACACGGCCCAAACUCCUACGGGAGGCAGCAGUGGGGAAUAUUGGACAAUGGGCGCAAGCCUGAUCCAGCCAUGCCGCGUGAGUGAUGAAGGCCUUAGGGUUGUAAAGCUCUUUCACCGGUGAAGAUAAUGACGGUAACCGGAGAAGAAGCCCCGGCUAACUUCGUGCCAGCCGCCGCAGUAACAC
rnacentral:rRNA from 1 species